UACGUAGGUGGCAAGCGUUGUCCGGAUUUACUGGGCGUAAAGAGCGUGCAGGCGGUCGAGUAAGUCGAAUGUGAAAGCCCCCGGCUUAACUGGGGAGGGUCAUUCGAUACUGUUCGACUUGAAGGCAGGAGAGGGCAGCAGAAUUCCCGGUGUAGUGGUGAAAUGCGUAGAUAUCGGGAGGAAUACCAGUGGCGAAGGCGGCUGCCUGGCCUGUUCUUGACGCUGAGGCGCGAAAGCGUGGGGAGCAAACAGG
rnacentral:rRNA from 1 species